GUAACCUCAGUGCAGAUGGACCUGUUGCCCAGCCCGCCUAGUGCUGCUAAAUCCACCGGCUCAAGGCCUCACUCGACCUGGGCUUUGCAAACUCCAGCCCGUUCUCCUUCCACCAAUCCCCGACGCUGGUCUCCAAGAAGGCCGACUCGAGCUUAGGAUGAAGACACUGGCACUCGUGGAGAUAAGUCUGGCUCCUCCAUCUGCCCAUCAUGGAUUGAGUCUUGGAAUGCAAACCCCAGACCCUGAAGGCAGCCCUCUUGGCCUGCUCCCAUCAAGCCUCCUGGAACCCUCUCUGAAAGGGGCGAUGACACCCUACCCUAACACCACCACUUAAUGUCAUCUCCAUCUGAAGGCCAAAUGGAGCAGGGGCACCCAGAUGACAGCACACUGAAGUAAGAAGGUCGCCGCGUGGGGACGGGGUAGGCUCAAGUUCACUGCCCUCGUUUGCCCCCUUGGCUCUUUUCUUUCUUGUAAAUAAAAUGGUUUUGAGUAGA